GUUAGUUCUUCGAGAUAAUCAAUCCGACAAGGCAUUACAGGAGUUGCCUUCUGACUACACCGAUUCAGGAAAAGUGGCUCUGUGGCAACAAGUUUAGCUACUCAGAGAAAACGUCUGCAUUCCUUGAAAGACCGGCGUUUUCCAGGCACACGCAAGCCUGGUUCAGACUUGUGGCACUGAAACUUCUGCGAAGGAAGCUUCAGGCUCAGUGCUUCCCGAGGAUCACACCAGAUACAAGGAAGAAAAAAGCUACCACCCAGGCACGAUCUUCAGAUGGCAUCAAAUACAGAAACAUUUCAACAUUGUCUGUCAACAGGGAAAUAAGAACUAAAGUUACCACAGGAAAGCUCACAGCCAUCAGCAAGGCUAACGGAGAGGACACAGGGGAGCAGGAGGUUUCAGGCCACUGGUGGAUCGUUUUAGGUUUCCAGAGUUUCGAAGAAUUCAAGACAGUAUUGACACUUCUCAUAGACUCCCGUAACUUGCAUCUCAUGUUGUUUUGAUACGUCUGAUAUUAAUGUUUCUGAAGACCUUGACGGCUUUGGGGAGAACUGUUAGGUGGCGUGUAAGCCACCUCCGACGCCUGGCAACGCCUGCUGUUUCCUCCCUGGUCAGAAGGAAGCUGUGGGUAUUGGAGCAGCCAUAACAUCGUGCUGUUGCCCCAGCCGCACCAGCUCUGGUUCCUACGGGCUUUCUGUCUGGCUCCUGUGUUCUAGGACUCUCCCAGCCUUUGUGGAUAUUUCUCUUUCUUGGCAAUAUAGGAAGCUCUGGGCCCAUCUCAUGCAUUUCCUGCUUUGAUUUCUCCACUGAUCCCUGAAAUGGAAACACUGUGCGGGGGCAAACACGUGAAGGAGUGUUUUCCUGAAGUGGACACGGAUAGAAGGCUAAGGCACACUUGUGAAGGAACACUGUGCUGAAGCAGACACAGGAGAGGGGAUGUUCUGCUAAAGCAAGCACGUGAAAGGACACACGGCGAAAGACUCUUUGCUAACAACACACACGCAUUGGCCCGCCUUACGUUUAAUAGCUGAGCUGCAUUUGUCAGGACUCCAUAGAGAGAAACCAGCCGAAAUCUUCUGGUGGUGCUGCAGUUUCUUGCUGCUUCUGCAGACUUUGUCUGAUUGGAAGAGUGACCUCAGCUGAGGCAAGGCCCAUGGAGGACAAAAUAGGACUCGACGGACAGUGACGGAGACAGAGCUUGGCUUGCUGGUACAGCUAGCUGUGCAAUGUUGUGGGUCUCACGCCUUCCCUUCACUGAGCGAGGCCCAGCUGAGAACUCCUCCUGGUGCUCCUCCUGGUCUCUCCUGCUGACUUGUGCCCAGGCUGAGGCCUGGCUGUCUCUGCUGGGCAGUGCCACCUCUGCUGAUUCCUGUUUGCUAUCCCGACUCUACCGAACUGGGCUGCUGGUGUAUCUGUGAAGUGUUUGUGAGUGGAUCAAGCCACUGCUGACCUGUGAACUGGACUGCCGAUUUCCAGACGACACAGACUGGAGUUACUCCGUAGAUCUUUUUCAAACAGGUCCACUCCCUGCGACAACUGCACAGCCCCUGCAGAACAACAGCAGCAUAGUUUGAUCUUUCCGCUUGACCUGGGGACAGGUUUCCCUCAGUUGGGCGUUUGUUGACCUUUCUCUGAGUUGUACAGCUCUCGUCAUACAGAUUGCAGCUCCUGUGCAGGCUUCGGUAUUUAGGCUUUUCACGUUAGGGGUUGGUGUUGGAACUAGCAUUUUGUCUUUACUCCAGAUUCCAGGGGUUUGUUGCUGGUGAGCAGAAAGCAUUGGACUUUUAUAUGUGAACCAGGCGUCUUGCAACCUUGCUGUACUUAUUUAUUCCAGGAGACAGAUUCAUUCAUUCAUUCAUUCAUUCAAUCACUCACUCACUCACUCACUCACUCAAUUCAUAAGUCGAUUUCAAAUGUGGAGAUUUUAUCUGGAAUAAAUCUUGCUUGGUAUCUAA